rnacentral:tRNA from 1 species
UGCGGGGUGGAGCAGUGGCAGCUCGUUGGGCUCAUAACCCAAAGGUCGGCGGUUCGAGUCCGCCCCCCGCGACCA